rnacentral:rRNA from 1 species
GACGAACGCUGGCGGCGUGCCUAAUACAUGCAAGUCGAGCGAAUCACUGGGAGCUUGCUCCCGGUGGUUAGCGGCGGACGGGUGAGUAACACGUGGGCAACCUGCCUGUAAGACUGGGAUAACACCGGGAAACCGGUGCUAAUACCGGAUAAUUCUUUUCUGCACAUGCAGGAAAGCUGAAAGUCGGUUUCGGCUGACACUUACAGAUGGGCCCGCGGCGCAUUAGCCAGUUGGUGAGGUAACGGCUCACCAAGGCGACGAUGCGUAGCCGACCUGAGAGGGUGAUCGGCCACACUGGGACUGAGACACGGCCCAGACUCCUACGGGAGGCAGCAGUAGGGAAUCUUCCACAAUGGACGAAAGUCUGAUGGAGCAACGCCGCGUGAGCGAUGAAGGCCUUCGGGUCGUAAAGCUCUGUUGUUAGGGAAGAACAAGUACCGGAGUAACUGCCGGUACCUUGACGGUACCUAACCAGAAAGCCACGGCUAACUACGUGCCAGCCGCCGCGGUAA